CUCGACCUCAGAUCAGGUGGGACUCCCCGCCGAAUUUAAGCAUAUUAGUAAGCGGAGGAAAAGAAACUAACGAGGAUUCCCCCAGUAGCUGCGAGCGAACAGGGAAGAGCCCAGCACUGAAUCCCAAAGGCCUCGCCUUUCGGGAGAUGUGGUGUUUUGGAGUGCCCGAUCAACCCGGGGUUCGUGCACCGCGUUCAAGUCCAUCUUGAACGGGGCCACGGUCCGAAGA
rnacentral:rRNA from 1 species